ACACUCCUGCGGGAGGCAGCAGUGGGGAAUUUUGGACAAUGGGGGCAACCCUGAUCCAGCAAUGCCGCGUGAGUGAAGAAGGCCUUCGGGUUGUAAAGCUCUUUUGUCAGGGAAGAAACGGUGGUGGCGAAUAACUACUACUAAUGACGGUACCUGAAGAAUAAGCACCGGCUAACUACGUGCCAGCAGCCGCGGUAAUACGUAGGGUGCAAGCGUUAAUCGGAAUUACUGGGCGUAAAGCGUGCGCAGGCGGUUGUGUAAGUCAGAUGUGAAAUCCCCGGGCUCAACCUGGGAAUUGCAUUGGAGACUGCACGGCUAGAGUGUGUCAGAGGGGGGUAGAAUUCCACGUGUAGCAGUGAAAUGCGUAGAUAUGUGGAGGAAUACCGAUGGCGAAGGCAGCCCCCUGGGAUAACACUGACGCUCAUGCACGAAAGCGUGGGGAGCAAACAGGAUUAGAAACCCUUGUAGUCCCA
rnacentral:rRNA from 1 species